GCAUUUCACCAAAUCACCCGGAAUGUGCCCGAUCUCAUCAGAUCUCGAAAGCUAAGCGGCCUAGAGCCUGGAUAGGGCUCGGAUGGGCGACCACCAUCAUGCAGAGCAGGUGCGGCU
rnacentral:rRNA from 1 species